rnacentral:rRNA from 1 species
AGUGAACGCUGGCGGUAGGCCUAACACAUGCAAGUCGAACGGCAGCACAGGAGAGCUUGCUCUCUGGGGGGCGAGUGGCGGACGGGUGAGGAAUACAUCGGAAUCUACUCUGUCGUGGGGGAUAACGUAGGGAAACUUACGCUAAUACCGCAUACGACCUACGGGUGAAAGCAGGGGAGCUUCGGGCCUUGCGCGAUUGAAUGAGCCGAUGUCGGAUUAGCUAGUUGGCGGGGUAAAGGCCCACCAAGGCGACGAUCCGUAGCUGGUCUGAGAGGAUGAUCAGCCACACUGGAACUGAGACACGGUCCAGACUCCUACGGGAGGCAGCAGUGGGGAAUAUUGGACAAUGGGCGCAAGCCUGAUCCAGCCAUACCGCGUGGGUGAAGAAGGCCUUCGGGUUGUAAAGCCCUUUUGUUGGGAAAGAAAUCCAGCUGGCUAAUACCCGGUUGGGAUGACGGUACCCAAAGAAUAAGCACCGGCUAACUUCGUGCCAGCAGCCGCCGUAA